rnacentral:hammerhead_ribozyme from 1 species
AUCCAGCUGAUGAGUCCAAAAUAGGACGAAACAUGUGUUCCUGAU